CGAUAAGAAGUUGAAGUCAGAUAACCACCUUCUACAUCCGGCUCCAUCUGAAUUACCCAUAAUGCUUCCGUAUUACCCGAAGUUUUUCGGUUCUGAUUUUUCCUUCUGAAUAGAUCCCAAUAGACAUCUCCUUCUUCCGAUUUGUGAGACCCGAACCUGACUUUCAUCAAACCUGUAUUGGGAUUAUCAAUCACUUCAGAAGCUAAACGAAUAGCAUCAUCGUAGAGUCCCAACGAUAUACAGGUCUCAGCAAGGUAAUGUUUUGCCACUAGAUUGGAAAUCUUUCCAUCAACUACAGUAAAGAAUAAAAAUCAAACGAUAUUCUGUAAGUAGUGGCGAACGAACAUGGAAAUGGGUUAUAGAUUUGAUAAAAUUCUAUAAAUAUAAAUUUAUAUAAAUGGUAUUAUAUUCCAGUGUAUUUUAAUUUUAUCAAAUAAUUGAGUAGAACGAAAUAGGUGUAAUUUUGUUUGAAGAUAAGGGAACCAUCCUUUAAGCCUAAAUAUAAUAAAUAAUCGAUAGUGAACUAGUACUGCGAAGGAAAGGUGAAAUAGAACUUACGAAAUUGAAAAGAUCUUGAAAUCUAAUGCUUAUAUCAAUUGAAGCUUCAAAAGAAGUGACAAUGUACCUUUUGUAUAAUGGACCAGUAAGUUUAUUUAUAUAGCAAGUUUAAAUCAAAAGAUGUAGACUUAGUAAAAGCGAAUUUGAAUAGAAUUUAUAAGUUAUAUAAAUAAGACCCGAAACCAAGUGAUCUAAUUAUGAAUAAGUUGACAAAAUAUUAAUUUAUUUUUGAGGACUGAACCCGUGUCUGUUGCAUAAGAUUGGGAUGAUUUGUGAUUAGGGGUGAAAGGCUAAUCAAACUUGGAGAUAGCUGGUUUUCUGUGAAAUCUAUUUACGUAAAGUGUUAAAAUUAAUAUUUUGUGGUAGAGAUAUCGAUAAAAGAGGGUUGCCCAUAAAGCUUUACCAAUUUUAAGGAAACUUCGAAUACAAAAUAUUAUUUUGAUAAUCGGACUUAUAAUGCUAAGGUUGUAGGUCGAGAGGGAAACAGCCCAGAUUGUUUAUUAAGGUCUUUAAAUUAUAAAUUUUCUCAUAAGAAAUGAAUUUUUAAAUUGUGAUAACUAAGAGUUAGGUUCAGAAGCAGCCAUUCUUUAAAGAAAGCGUAAAAGCUCAUUGGUUUAAUUUAAAAAUUCGGACGAUGUAGGGAGAUUUGAAGAAAUAUACCGAAAUAGCAAAUUUAAAUAAAUAAGUUUAAAUGGUAACAGAACGUUCUGUAUGCAAAAAGAUAAAUUGAAAAAUUUAUUAGUGUAUCAGAAGUGAUAAUACUGGUAUGAGUAAUCUAAAUAAUAUAAAAUAGGUAAUUAAUUAUUAUCGUCGAAAAUUUAAGGUUUUUAAUUUAUAAUUGUUAAACAAAAUUAAGUAAUGCGGUCUCUAAAAAUUAGGUGAAAACUGAUUUUGAUGAGUAUUAUUAAAAAGGACUUAAACAAUUAAAGGAUAUACUUUAAUUAAAUUUAAUUCAAAAAACUUUUUUAUAAAACCGUACUAAAAACCAACACAGGUAAAUGGGUAGAGUAUACUAAGACGAUAAAGUGAAUCAUAGUGAAGGAACUCGGCAAAUUAACCUUGUAACUUCGGAAGAAAAGGUUUUUAUUAAGUAUAUUACUUAAUAAAAUAAUAUAAAAGGGGGUAGCGACUGUUUAAUAAAAACACAGGACUUUGCUAAAUCGUAAGAUGAUGUAUAAGGUCUGACACCUGCCAGGAACUGUGUAGUUAAAAUUAAAGAUAAUUAUUUUUAAUAUAAGCAGCAGUAAUCGGCGGCCAUAACUCUGAUGGUCCUAAGGUAGCGAAAUUCCUUGUCAACUAAUUAUUGACGUGCAUGAAUGGUGUAACGACUUCCCCACUGUCUCCACUAUGAGCUUUGUGAAAUUGAAAUAUUCGUGAAGAUGCCGCAAGAGCGGCGAGAUGAGCUAUCUGCGCCCGGACGGCAAGAGCCAGGUCACCGUGGAGUACGACGAGAACAACAAGCCCGUGCGUGUGGACGCCGUGGUCAUCUCCAGCCAGCACAGCGAGAGCGUGAGCAU
rnacentral:rRNA from 1 species